rnacentral:rRNA from 1 species
AUAAGUCUUAACAUGGUUGCUGUUGGAGAACCAUUAGCAGGAUCAUAAUCAGGAAGUAUAAGUUUGUUUGUAUGUCAUUACCCACACAUGGGAUCAAUAGGAUACCAUAACGAU